rnacentral:ncRNA from 1 species
UUUGGUUUCUUGAUUCCUAAAAUCAAGUGGUGCGGAUGGAGAUAACUCCCGCCAGGUUUCUUGUUUCCUGUAAAAGAACAAGUGGCGUGCAUGGAG